rnacentral:rRNA from 1 species
AGUAGUAUUAGCUAUGUUCUUGAAACUUAAAAAAUUUGGCGGUAUUUUAGUCUAUUCAGAGGAACCUGUUCUGUAAUCGAUAAUCCACGAUGGACCUUUCUUUUUCUUGCAUUCAGUUUAUAUACCGUCGUUAUAAGAAUAUUUUAAAAGAAAAAUAAUUUUCAAAAAUUAAUAUUAUAUUUUAUAUCAGAUCAAGGUGUAGCUUAUGAAAAAGUAGAAAUGGGUUACAUUAAAUAUAUUUAAAUGGAAUACUAUAUGAAAAAUAAUAUGAAAGUGGAUUUGAUAGUAAAAUUAUAUAGAUAAUUAAUUUGACUAUAGCUCUAAAAUAUGCACACAUCGCCCGUCGCUCUUAUUCCUAAGGUAAGAUAAGUCGUAACAUAGUAGAUGUACCGGAAGGUGUAUCUAGAAUGUCAAUUUAAAGCUUAAUAGAAAGUAUUUCAUUUACAUUGAAAGGGUUUAUGUGCAAAUCAUUAUAAGUUGAUAAUAUUUAUUUAUUAAUUUUUAUUUUUAUUUAAUUAGUUAUUAAAAAUAAUUGUAUAAAGUUAAGUUUUAGUAGUUUAUAAAGAAAAAAUAAUUUAAAUAAUAUUUGAUUAGUAUCGUGAGAGAAAGUUGAAAUAAAUGAAAAA